UCAUCUUAACCGCUGAAUCCGUAUGGAACGGAGGAACCAAUUUUGUAACAGUUUUUUCUGUUACUUGGGGUGAAUCCUUUAUGUAAGUAAAGGUAGGGUUACUUCUUGACCCGAAUCCGACAGCUAACUUCGUAAGCGUUAGGGAGAGGGUGU
rnacentral:sRNA from 2 species